rnacentral:rRNA from 1 species
AUACGAAAGGUGCAAGCGUUGUUCGGAUUUACUGGGCGUAAAGAGAGUGUAGGUUGUUUAUUAAGUCGGAUGUGAAAUCCCGGGGCUCAACCUCGGAACUGCAUUCGAUACUGGUAGACUAGAGUUCGGGAGGGGUAAGCAGAAUUCCGUGUGUAGCAGUGAAAUGCGUAGAUAUACGGAGGAACACCUGAGGCGAAGGCGGCUUACUGGACCGAUACUGACACUGAGACUCGAAAGCGUGGGUAGCAAACAGGAUUAGAUACCCUAGUAGUCC